UAAUUGUUCCAUCAAAUGGAGAGAUUAGAUUAUCUCCUGAUUGCUCAACAUGAAAUCUUUUCCCUCUUCUUCAAAUGUUACAUAUAAAAUUCUGUGUAUUUAGUUGGCUACAUGAGAAGAGGGCAAAUUAUGAUUACAAUCAAUCAGUCAUCGGGUUGUCAUCAUCAUCAUCAUCAUCUCUCUGUUUGACUCCAGCCUCUCAUCAUCUUUAAUGGACCUCAAAACAAUGUUCAUCUUUCUCCAAGUUAAAUUGUUCCAUCUCUCCAAUUGUUUAUCACCAUCAAUUGAUUAUCUUUUCCAUCAUCAUCCAGUAUCAACAAAAAUCUUCCAUAACCAUAGACACAUAGUAUUUGACCUUCAACUCUUUUUCCUUCAUCGCCUUUUCCUCCUCUUCCGCCUACUCGUUAGGCCUAACAACUUAUAAUCUAUUAUCUUAUUAUAAACUGUUUCCCUUUUCUAUGGCUUUUUAAUCUGAUGAUUCAUGGCGGUGAACUUGACUGACCACCACAACCACAAUCACCACCACCAUCACUACCAUUGGUCAUUUACAGUUACUUGGGAUGAAAAGAAAUCAAUUUUUGCUUAAUGGAAAACCUCAAGUUAUAUUGAUUACAUGGAGACCAGAGUAAGAAAAAAAGUUUCAUCUUCCAUUCUUUAUGUACCUUCAACACACUCACGAAUACAUAAACAUUCACAAACAUGAACACCGAUCCACAUCUCUUGAUGAUCAACAUUUAAUUUUGAUGACCAUUGGAUAUACAACAUUCAACAUUUAUCCUGCUGCACCAUGAAGGCAACAAACUGCCAACAAUACAUAACAAUUUUCAGCAUUUCUAAUCAAAGUUAAAGGCAUAAUAAUAAAACUAUUUUAUUAUUACCUUCUCUCUACUCUUGCAAAUGGUUUUUAAUAUUUGAUGAUUAUUAACUCUCACCCAUCACUACCCUGGACUUUAAAAGAUAAUCAACAAAAUUGACCAACAACAUAAAACAACAACAACAACAAUCAACAUGAAAUCAGAGGCGAUUACGAUUGAAGCGAUGACCAAGGAAAUAGAGGAAAUGAGAAAAAAAUAAAGAGAUUGAAAUGGACAGAAAAGAUUUGAUUAUUAUUAUUAUUACAGUUACAUUAUUGUUCAUCAGCAGAAUUCAAAGUGAUAAUAAUAACCAUGAUACAUGUAAUAAUAAUACUCAUCAUCAUUUUGUCAGCCAUUAAAGGAAAAUGAUUCUUUUUGAUUUUUCUUUAUAUUCAACAGAAUAUUAUCAAGUGUCGAUAAGAAAAUGGAGAGAGAGAGAAAAGUAAAAGCCGGAAAUGAGCUCAACUUCCUGUGGAUCUUUCGGAUGCAGUUGAUCAAUCUGAUUGUCGCCUGAAAAGAACACGAAUUUUUGUCAUCAUCUUUUUCCAUCCCGAUAAACAGUUGAAAUUAUCAUGGAAAGAAAAAUAUUAUUACAUGUAGAGAUGAUCACGAUUCCAAUUUCAGGUUCGUCAUCAUAUUAUUCAAGAUCAUGUACACUAAAUAUCAUCAUCAUGUCAAAUGUCAUCAUCAUCACAGUCAUUUAGUGAAACUGGAAAAUCAUUUCAUGUUAUUGUUUUGACUUGAUUCAGAUUGUCAAUUUAUCCUUAUCCCUCAAUUUCCGUUUCCAUCCUAACAAUCAACAGUUAGUAAAUUGUGUUGAAAUAAUCAUCUUUUCCAUGUCCGUUAUCAUGUUUUUCAGAAUGAAAAACAAACAGAUUAACCUUACCAAUGGAUUAAAAAACAACAAUAACUUGAUCAGUAAA